UACGUAGGGGGCUAGCGUUGUCCGGAAUCAUUGGGCGUAAAGAGCGCGUAGGCGGCCAGAUAAGUCCGGUGUGAAAGUCAAAGGCUCAACCUUUGAAAGCCGAUGGAUACUGCAGGGCUAGAGUCCGGAAGAGGCGAGUGGAAUUCCUGGUGUAGCGGUGGAAUGCGCAGAUAUCAGGAGGAACACCGGUGGCGAAGGCGGUUCUCUGGGACGGUACUGACGCUGGAGACGCGAAAAGCGUGGGGAGCGAACAGG
rnacentral:rRNA from 1 species